ACAAUUGUUUACCUUUCUGUAGGCAUCUGCAUCUGUUCUGUUUUGUAAACAUCACUUAACUCUCUGUGGGUAAAUACUGGAAUUGGUAAACAACUGUUAGGGGAUUUUCCACCCCCUCUUCAUAUUCCUUAACUAAUGCACACUGCAAACAAUGUUUGCCUUAGAUUAAAAAGAAACAGACAUUAACAGGGUCAAAGGGAUUGGAUGGGAACACUUUAUCGCUUCUCGGGUCUAUAGUAAUUAUAUCUUUUGUGAUUUGAACGUAUUUUGUAACCUAUCUAAAUUAAAGUGUUAAAAAAUGCUAGCAUCCAGUUAUGAAGAAGAUUUUUUUAUAAUUAUCUAAGUACUGUGUAAAAAGCUGCUGGCACUAUUUGUAAUAAUUUAGUUCUGCAAUAUUAUUUCUUAUAGCUGCUGUGCAGAAAUAUUAAGUCGUCUUUUGUAAUUUCUGGAAAUUAGUGGUUUCUACUAUCUAGCUGCACAAAUAUUUAAAACAUACAGUUACCAAAGAAAGAGAAAAAGAACAAGAGAAAAAGAGCAUUAUAUACCACAGUAUAAAAAUGUCAAUUUGUGACUAGUGCCUAGAAAAUGCAAUACUGUAUCAUUGGUAAAUGCAGUUCACUUUUCUUCAGGAGUCCUGGAGGGGAUAGAUGCUACCUUAAAUGCAGGAUACCUACAAUAGUUGAGAAGUCAUGUCAAUGUGGUCUCACCAAGAUCAGGAGUAAUUAUUGCUCCUCAUAAUAGUGCAUUUCCCCAGUCUCUAUUUGGCAAACUACUCCUUACAUUUCCCAAGUUCACAAUUGCUACAAAUCCUUGUUCUCAUUUUAUAUGCAACUAUUUUAUAUCUGAUUUACCAUAAUUUUAUUUUCAUUUUUUUCUUUUUAUUUGUAUGAUAAAGAUUAAACCUUAGCACUUUAUCAUGUUUUUUUGGUCGUUUUUAAUACACUUUGUUUAGACUUUGAGAGUUACUGGAGUUUGUUUGUUUUGAUUUGAUUUUGUUUUAUCAUAUGUCAUUAUAAAUGCAGGUUGGCCCUGUGUUUGCAGUUAUCCUCUGUUUCAGCCUCUCAAGUGCUGGGUUCCAACUUGUGGUUCCAUACCAGGCUCCCCUUCUCUUUUUAAAUGUGUGUUUAAACACAUAAUCAUCUCAGUAUUUAAUCGGAUUAUUAUAAACCACAAAAUUGAAAUUAUUUGAUAAAGCAAUGAAUGAGGAUUUUUCCUUCCUUGUCUUAUAUGUGUUAUAUGUGUACAUGCUGGCGAAUUCUUCUUUUCUCUUUUAAUCUUUUUUUUUAAACAAUUUUUGUAGUGCUAGAAGUAAAACUCUGGGCAUGCUAUACACAUACAUGGAUUCUAUCAUUGAGCUACAUCUCCACACCUUUCUCAGUUUUCUUUUUUCUUUUUUUUUCUAUUGCUUGUUUGUUUGUUUGUUUGUUUGUUUGUUUGUUUGUUUUGAGACAGGGUUUCUCUCUAUAGCCUUGGCUGUCCUGGAACUCACUCUGUAGACCAGGCUGGCCUCGAACUCAGAAAUCCGCCUGUCUCUGCCUCCCAAGUGCUGGGAUUAAAGGUGUGCGCCACCACUGUCCAGCCUUUCUCAGUUUUCUUAACCAUUAUUUUACAAUUUCACCUUUCUAAAUUAUCAGUUUGGCUAAUUUUGUAAUUAGAACAAUGUUUUACAAUUUGUCGUUUUCAUCCCUGUUGAAAUAAUAAAGGACUUUGUUGUUGCGU
rnacentral:lncRNA from 1 species